rnacentral:rRNA from 1 species
CCUACGGGCGGCAGCAGUGGGGAAUAUUGCACAAUGGGCGCAAGCCUGAUGCAGCCAUGCCGCGUCUUUCCAUCUUGCCUUCCUUUUGUAUAUUACUUUCAGUCGUUUGGUCGGUGUUAAGGUUAAUAACCUUAGCAAUUGACGUUAGCGACAGAAGAAGCACCGGCUAACUCCGUGCCAGCAGCCGCGGUAAUACGGAGGGUGCGAGCGUUAAUCGGAAUUACUGGGCGUAAAGGGCAAGCAGGCGGUUAAAGAAGUAGGAGGUGAAAACGCGGGGCGUAAGCUGGGAAUGGAAUGAAAGACAGGUUAGGUAGAGUCUUGUAGAGGGGGGUAGAAGUCCAUGUGUAGAGGUGAAAUGCGGAGAGAUGGGGAGGAAAAGCGGGGGCGAAGGCGGAAACAUGGACAAAGACAGAAGCAAAGGUGAGAAAGAGUGGGGAGCAAACAGGAUUAGAUACACCUGUAGUC